AGUAACGCGUGGGUAAUCUACCCCCGAAUUGGGGAUAGCAUCGCGAAAGCGAUGCUAAUACCGAAUAAAAUCUUAAAAACCUCGGUUUUAAAGAUCAAAGGUGGCCUCUACAUGUAAGCUUCUGUUUGGGGAUGAGCCCGCGUACCAUUAGCUUGUUGGUAGGGUAACGGCCUACCAAGGCUGCGAUGGUUAGCUGGUCUGAGAGGAUGAUCAGCCACACUGGAACUGACACACGGUCCAG
rnacentral:rRNA from 1 species